UUUUUACAAACCCAAUACCCAAAUAGCCUAAUAGACCCAACAUUUAACCCUAGCCCAAUAACUAAAUAGCCCAAUGCUUAAAUAAAAAACAGAAAACCCUACUAGCAGCAAGUAGCGCCGCAAGCCCCCGCCUUCAGCGCCUCCAGCAGCAUCCGGACGCCGCAAGUUUCGGCCUCCACGCAUGCCAAACUCUCCACGCACCUGCAAACACGAACUCAGAGAUUCCAUUAGCGAAAAUAUAGUGUAAAACAAAUAAGUUUUAGGUUAUAUAAAGCCGUUUGAUUUUGUAAAAAGAGAGACAAAGAAAUCAAAAGGAGAACUGAGAAUACAAGUUUUUUUAGGUGAAUCGCACCACUUUUUUUUUCUUUUGCAUUUUACGUUUUUUAUUGUUUUUGUAUAACUAAAAGUAGAAAAAAGAGAAAAGGGGGUUACCCUCGUUUUGAAUCUGCUCAAGGGCAAUUAAAAGCCCGUCGUGUCGCCUUUCCGAUCACCAUUCUCGGUGAAAUCGCGGCGGAGGCGCAUGGUGGCGGCGGCGCGAGGACGCUAAGGGUGAAACCCUAGCAGAGCAAAAAAAAGGGGGGGGAAUUUAUUUAUUUUCUUUUUUUUUUCAUUCUGUUAAAAUGGUUUUAGAAAGAAAAAUCUGUUUUAAAUAACAGAUCGAAACGGCGCCGUUUUGAAUGGCCAGACCCGUGCGGUGACCCGAGCCGGAGGGGAGGAUCCGCGCGUUCUGACGUCAGAGGGGGAAUUUGCGCGAUCAGUCCUCCCUCUUUUGCGCCAUGUUUUAUUAAACCAAUUUUUGUUUUUUUUAAGUUUAGCCCAAAUGUUUCUGUUUCUGUUCACUUUAGUCUAUGCCAAUGCACAACGUUUUGGGAAGUUGGGUUAUUGCCAAUCUGGUCCCCCAUGUCAUUCGCGUGUGGCACUUUCAUCCCUAAUUUUAUUUUUAAUCCAUUUGCUACCCGCUAACUCAAUUUUAAUCACAAUGUGACCUUUCUUUUUUACUCAAUUUAUUACCCUUUUGUAUUAUUAUUUUAUUAUUACUAUUUUUUUGUUUUAUUCCCGUUAUUAAUGUGUACAUUAAGUUUCAUUUGUCUUCUUACAUAUGUAUAUUACUUUAUAAUAUAUAUAUCUAUACAUAUAUUGGUUUUUUUAAACAUGCGCAUUUUAUAUAUAAUUUUCUUUUUUUUCCUUUCAUAUUUUUUACAAAACAUAUAUUUUGUGAAUUUCAUUUUCAAAAUGUUUUUUUCGUAAAAUACAUGCAUGCGCAUUUGUUUUAUAAAAUAUAUACAUGAAUAUAUUUAUACAUAUGUUUUUCCUUAUAUCCUUAUUUUAUUUACUUUUUUUUAUAUACUUUAUAUUAUAUAUGCACUUAUACGUUUUAUUCUGUAAAUACAUAUAUGUAUUUUUUAUAUACUUUUAUUUUAUUUUUAAUACAUGUUUUUGUUUGUUUUAUUGGGUAUAUUUCAUUCCUUCCAUUUGCAUGAAUACUCGUAUAUGUGAUAGAUAUAUGUGUACAUAUGUUUGCAACUUUAUUGUUAUAUUGUAUUUGUAUAUAUAUAUUUGCAAAUAUCUAUCCGUGUAUGUUGAAAAUUAAAGGAUCUGUAUCAUAUUGUAUAUUAGCUCUUUAUCAUACCCUUUUGAAAAUAUAUUUUGGUUUUAACCCUUCAUCAAAGUUAUUUUCUUGAUUUAAAGGUUUUUUUUGAUUAAAAGCAUUUUUGGAAGUUUGGGAUUUUCGAGGGAAAUUGAGCCCUAACGUAUUGGGUUCUGAUUUUCUUUGUCAAUCCUAAAUGACCGAGAAUAUUUUUAUUCAAAAUGCAUAAAAAUCAUUUUUGGGAACUUAACUUGUGGUGCCCUAACGUAUUGGGUGUGGCAUGUUACUUUCUCGAAAUGAAGAUUUUCGUAUAAAAUAAAAGUGAUACUCAAUUUUGGGGAAUUAUGAGGAAUUGUACCCUAACGUAUUGGGACUCGAUUUCUCUACAUGACUUGAACAAUUGGUUAUCCUUUUGCAAAUUUCAUCAUUCAAGCUUAUUUUAAAAUCUUUUUAACUUUCGACACAAAAACAUCAAAUAAUCAAUUUGGUACCGAUUUUGGGCGUUACGAGGGUGCUAACCCUUCCUCGUGCGUAAUAGACUUCCGAACUCGUUUUCUCAAAAUUCAUAGACCAACAUAAUUUUUAAGGUGAGCCGAUCACACCUUAAUAAAGGAUCGGUGGCGACUCCAGUUUUAUUUUAAAAAAAAGUCAACUAAAUUUUUUGUUUUAAAAAAAAACAGUUUCGACAGCUUGGCGACUCCGCUGGGGACUUUGAGAGUCGAGCCAUAAACUGAUUAUGUUUGUCUUUGUGUCGAAAAUCAAGAGUUUUAAAAAUUCACGAGUUCGCUUCGCAUUCAUCGUUUUUUUCAUUUUGAUGUUGGCAACUUUGCAUUUGCAUUUUGCAUUUUACCCUUUAAGUGGGAGCAAGAAACUAGUCCUUCGUGAGGUUUUCAUCUCUGUGCAGGGUAGUGGACUGCUUCCGAGAUACAUUCGUACCUAUGUCUUCGUGAGAUUUUCAUCUCCGUGCAACCAUAGGGAAAUGUGUCCCCCUGAACCGAACUCGAUCCACAUGAGCCUAUAAUGGGUGAGGAUCGAGGAAUCUGCUGGUUCGGGUACCCUUACUCUAGAAACCAAGCCUCAUAUAGUGAGCUUUAGGAACUUGACCUAGGUAGAACUAUCCCAAAACCCUAGUGGAUUCCUAAUUAAGUGUUUCUUGCUAUUUCAUGUUUGUAUUUGAUUAUAUUUCUAUAUGUGAUACUGACUUGGGUUUCUUUUGUUUUGAUUGCAUGGCAUCAUUAUUGCAUAGCAUUUCAUCCUAAAAGGGCGUUAGUUCAUAUUCGGUUGCUAAAUAGAAAGCUUAUCAUGGAAAAAGGGUUUCUUGAUAAGGUGGAAGAUAAUACGGCUGUCCAAACUUGGUCUGAGACAAUGCAGCAAGAGAAAGGCGAUAGUUUGGCCGAGGGAUAUGUGUCAGAGUUAUGAGACUUCACUCGUGUUAGCGUGACUCAGAAUAACUUACAGGAAUUAAAGAAAAUUUGGGACCGGUGGAAUGAUGAGAUUAAGCAGUUUUUCUACUCUAGCUAUGGAGACCUACCUUACUUGCUCGACGUAAAGGUGGAUAAGCACCUGUUCCGUGCCUUAGCCCAAUUUUGGAACCCUGCUUAUAGCUAUUUCACCUUUGGAAGUGUUGAUUUAGUGCCUACAGUGGAGGAAUACACGGCAUCGCUUCGUUGUUCAAAAAUUCAAGUGGAUAAAGCCUAUUCAAGAGCUGCUAAUGUUCCAACAUUUUUGAAGAAACUGAUGAAUAUUACAGGGAUGAGUGAGCAAUGGGUCGCAGCACGAAUCAAACAAAAGGGAAAUAGUAAGUGCAUCCUUAGAGGAACCUGAAAGAUUUAAUUCUAGCACACCCGGAUACGAGGAAGAGGGUUGAUGUCUUUGCCUUGGGUAUUUACGGUUUAGUUGUCUUUCCUAAAGCUUUGGGGACAUUUUGAUGAAGCAGUCACUGAUAUUUUUGACCGUCUUGACAAGGGGGUUACACCGGUCCCAGCAAUUCUGGCAGAAACCUUCAGAUCUCUGAAUGAAUGUCGAAGAGUAGGUGAGGGUAGAUUCAUUGGAUGCACGCAGCUCCUUUUAGCAUGGUUUCAUAGUCACUUUUGGAAGGUGGAUAAGGUUUCAUAUCGGGUUUUUUUUGAAAAUUAUUCGCCCUUGAAGGAAAUAGUGGUAUUACCGAGACAAGAUGAUAUCUCGGAGGAAAAAUGGAUGGCAACUCUUCAGAAUCUUCAAGAGGGGGAUAUUGAAUGGAGAGCUCUUUGGAUGCAGUCAGAUGAGAUCUUAUAUAGGUGUGGAGAUUUUGACUGGGUCCCUUUACUUGGGAUUUGGGGGGCUAUUGGCUAUGCACCAUUAUUGGUAUUGGGACAGUAUAGGUUAAGGCAGUUCGUACCAACAACCCAUGGAUUAGCUCAGUGUGAAUUCUCGUAUAAGUGUGAUGGUUACAAGAAGAAGAUACGAGAAAUGACUAAUGCUUGGAGGCAGACUCACCGAUUGAAGAGGUUGGUAGUAGGUCCAUCAACGAUGCCUGAAUAUAUCGAGUGGCUUAAUAGAAGGAUUAAUGAUAAAAUACCUGUACCAGGUCAAGGAGACAGACAAUUUGUGGAAAAGUGUGUACAUAUGGUCCUUUCUAAGUUAGAAAUUAUAAAGCAAGACUUUGAAAGAAGAAAUUCUGAGCUUGAGAAGAAGAUAGAGCAAAUGGAAGAGGAGAAGAUGAAUUUAAGGCUGGACAUAGAUGUUCAGAAACUGGAAAUCGAAGGCCUGAGAAAAGGGAAGCGCAAAGUCGAGGAAGACCUGAACAGCUUGAAGACGGAUUAUAAGAGAUUACGUUUGUCAAUGAGAACUGCUGGGUUGGGAAAAACCUCAGAGCAGUGGCGUCAAGAGGUUCAAGAAGAAAAGGCCAAGGCUGAUAGGUGGGAAAAGAGAUUUCAGGAGGCUCAAAAGCAAAAUAAGUCAUUUGAGAGGAGUUUGUCAGAAAGCCAGAAUGAAAGAGAUAAACUAAGGGCUAGAGUGGCCGAACUCGAGAAGAUUGUUUAUCAAUACCGAAAUCGAAAUUCAGUGGCGGAACUGCAAGCAAGUUUAAGUAGGAUCGAGCAAAUGAAGAAAACUAUAGAGGAAUUAAAGAUAGCAUCGCAGAACUAUGAAGCCAGGAUUGAGCAUUUGGAAGCAAACGAAGAUCAUCAAAGUGAACAGCUUCACUAUCUCCAGGGUCAAGUUGCAAGAAGGGAUCACAUUAUAGGAGAAGUUGUGGUUCAGAUUCAAGGGGUAGCUGAGCACCUGCAGACUUUGGCAAUACAGGCUGAUAUACUAAGUGUGAAGUACGAAUUGGAAUCAAAUCAGGGGCAGAAGUUGGCAUCAUUACUUAGGGAGAUUAAAGUUCUAAGUAUUAGGGCAAGGCCUUAUUUAUAGCCAUUUUAUGUAAAGAAAAUUUUUCUCUAGUAAAGUUUUCUGAGUGGAAUUGAAUUAUAAUUAACGUCUUUUUUGCAUUCACCUCAUGCAUCGUAUCAUAUGCAUUAGCAUCGCAUCAUAUGCAUUAAAGACCUUUAUUAAAUCCUAAUAAGUUAAAAUCAUUGCUCAGUUAACCUGGAAACCAACCAACCAACCCGACACCGAUACGGAACUCGAGCAAAGACAAAAGAUAUGGAUCAGAGAUUAGAAAAGCUCGAACAGUACUAGAAAGAGAUGCAAGACCGGCUUCAGCUACAAAUGCAGGAGCGGUUAGACAAGAUGAAACAAGUGAUGUCUGAGAAGAUGCGAGAAUCCCAAGAAGAUAUAGUGGCAAAGUUAACCCAACUGAUAACUAAGGGAGGUGAUAAAGGAAAGGGCCCCAUGGCAAAUGUCGAUGAGGGAACUGAUGAUGAAUUUUUUUACCCUCCAGGUUUCACUCCUCCACAUAUGCGAGCCCAAGCUGAGUACCCGUGCAAAUCUACUGUCACUAUCAUGCCUCAGUAGCUUCGGGCUGAUAUUUCGAACCUUCAAACUAGGCCAGGUUCUAAUCCCGAAAAUAAUCCUAUUAACUCUACCAUUCCUGACUUUGAUGAAGUGCUUGAGAAGGAAAGAGUGAAGGAGGAGUUACCGAGACAGUUAGAGGAAAGAUGCAAGUGGCUCAAGGAGAAGUUCAAGGCGAUGGAGGUCACUGAGAGUUGUCGAGGCAUUGACGCAAAAGAGCUGAGUUUAGUGCCAGAUUUAGUACUCUCUCAUAAGUUUAAGAUGCCUGAAUUCGAAAAGUACAAUGGGACAAGCUGCCAGAAGCUCACAUCACUAUGUUCUAUAGACGAAUGGCGGGAUAUGUUAACAACGACCAACUCCUGAUACACUGUUUCCAAGACAGCCUUGUAGGGGCAGCAUCCAAAUGGUACAAUCAGUUGAGUCGUACCACGGUUGGUUCAUGGAGGGACCUGGCACAAUUGUUCAUGAAACAAUAUAGUCAUGUGACAGACAUGGCUCCUGAUAGAAUCACCCUUCAAAACAUGGAGAAGAAGCCGAGUGAAAGCUUCAGGCAGUAUGCACAGAGAUGGACGGAGGUUGCGGUCCAGGUUCAGCCGCCGCUCUUGGAAAAGGAAAUGACCAUAUUGUUCAUUAACACCCUGAAGGCACCGUUCAUUACACAUAUGUUAGGAAGUGCCACAAAAAGCUUUCUUGACAUAGUUAUGAAUGGUGAGAUGAUUGAGAACGCCAUCAAGAGUGGGAAGAUUGAUGCGGGAGAGAGUAACAGAAGACCGGCCUCAAAGAGAAAGGAAAACAAGGUGAACAACGCGGGCAUGUACAACAAGGGUUACUCGAAGUCAGUAACAGUGAGUCAGCCAGGAAAGGUGGCUGCCAAUCAGCAAAGCUCGUCGAGACAGGAGGUCGAUACAAGGCAAAAUACUGAGAGGCCCCAAUUCACACCAAUUCCUAUGUUGUACAGGGAACUAUACUAAAAUUUAUUCGACGCACACGUAGUUUCCCCUUUCUAUCUGAAGCCCUUGCAACCCCCGUAUCCCAAAUGGUACGAUGCGAAUGCAGAGUGCGACUAUCAUGUGGGAAUAACAGGGCAUUCUAUAGAAAACUGUACGGCCUUUAAGAAGUUGGUUGAAAAGCUCAUUGGUAAGGGUGUCGUUAAGUUUGAUGACUCGACCAAGGUAGAAAACCCAUUACCGAAUCACAUUGAUGGUGGGGUAAAUAUGGUGGGUGAAGACAGAAGAAUCAAGGCAGACAUUGCGAAUGUAAGAACUCCUUUGAGAUUGGUCUGGAAGGAGAUGGUGAAAAGGGGACUAAUCGUCUCAGAAAAAAGUUGUGAAAAGAGGGUGAAGUACUGUGAGUUCCACCAUGAAGUGGGGCAUGAAAUCCAAGAGUGUACGGGGUUCAGAGCCCUGAUACAAGGUAUGAUGGAUAAUAGGGAGGUGGAAUUCUGUGAAGGAGUUCAAGAGGAGAGUUAUGUAUGCGCAUCAGAGUUGGCAUUGGGAGUCCCGAAAGCUAACCGUCUUGUGGUCAUCAUCUCGCGACCUCAGAACAGUGAGAUUGGGGCACGAAUAACACCAAAAGUAAUCAUUCAAAAACCAACUGUGUUUGCAUAUAAGGAUAACAUGAGGGUUCCUUAGAAUUACGAUUGUAAUGUGACAAUCCCGGGGAAGGAGGAUGUAAUCAAUAAAGAGGAACAGGAUGAUGGAAGGCACCACGAACAGAUGAAAGCACGAGUAGAGCCAAUAAGAGAAGAAACUUCAGUUGAAAAGAAGAAGAAUGUGGUUGAACCCGAAUUGUUGGUCAAUGAACCAAUCAAAGAGGAGGAAGCUAGAGAGUUCUUGAAGUUCAUAAAGCAUAGCGAGUAUUGCAUUGUGGAACAGUUGCAAAAAACAACCAGCUCACAUAUCUGUGCUAGCUUUACUCCUGAACUCGGAGGGACAUCGGAAUGCACUACUGAAGGUGCUAAAUGAAACUUAUGUGGCCGACGAUAUCUCUAUUAACAAGUUGGAUCGACUGGUCGACAAUAUAAGCGCUGAUAACUUCAUUUCUUUCAGUGACGAUGAAAUACCACCUAGGGGUAUGGGAUCUACUAGAGCUUUACACAUCACUGCAAGGUGUAAAGGGUGCAUAUUACCAGGGGUUCUAGUAGACAAUGGAUCAGCAUUAAAUGUAUUGCCCCUAUCCACGCUCAACAGGCUACUUAUGGAUAGUUCGCAUAUGAAAUCGUGUCAGAACGUGGUUCGAGCAUUUUAUGGUACUGAGAGGAGGGUCAUGGGAAGAAUUUACAUUCCCUUGUUAGUUGGCCCAACUAUUUAUGAGGUGGACUUCUUAGUUAUGGACAUCAAGCCUUCUUACAGUUUCCUAUUAGAAAUGCCAUAGAUUCAUUCAGCAGGUGCGGUACCGUCAUCGUUACAUCAAAAACUGAGGCUGGUGUCAGAAGGCAGGGUUGUGACGAUAGAUGCUGAAGAAGAUAUCAUUGCAUCUGUGACCAACGAUGCGCCUUAUCUAGAAACGAGCGAUGAUGCAAUCGAAUACUCGUUCCGUUCCUUGGAGUUCGUAAAUGAAACAUUCAUCCAUGGGGGAAACAAGAUUUCGAUGCCGAAAAUAUCAAGGACCACAGAGAUGGGUCUGCAGUUGACUGUUGGAAAAGGAGCUUUGCCGAGAAGAGGAUUGGGGAAGUAUCUUCAGGGCCGAGUUGAAACUCCAGUGUUGAAAGAUAAGCAGGACCGUUUCGGCUUAGGAUAUAAGCCAGAUGCUAGGCAGAAGAGGAUAGAGCAGGAAAAGAAACAAGAGAGAAGAAAGGCUCGUUUGACAGGUGAUGAAGUCAAAUGGGAACCCAUGACCUUUCCACACCUAUCUAAGACUUUUGUAUCGGGAGGUUUCGUCUAUUAAGGAAUGCUAGGAGUCAUAAGUAUUAACACGGAGUUAGAGAGUAUUCAUGCCGUGUACGAAGAAGUGACAGGAGGAAGAACUUUGCCGGAUAUUCGUCCUUACGAGCUGGGAAGGGCGCUAAACAACUGGACUGCAGAAGAAAUACCUGUAGUUUUUAGGAUUUCCUCAGAGUAAUGUCCAGAACACCCUUAUUGCUUUUUAGCCUAGAAGUGAUAAGGAUUCCUUUGUGAAAUAGGCUCAUGUCCAGAAAAUCGUUAUUUUAAUAAAGUUCAUGUUUGCAGUCAUUUUUGGAGCAAAUCUUUCUUUCCAUAAGAGCAGUUAUUUUAAGUUUCUCUUGAACUACACUUGCAUUUCAUUCAUGACCAUAUUGCACCAAACAAAUUCCUGAAUCCAUAUUGUUUUUCAUAACAGGUCCUACGAUAUCAAUGAUACGAAUGUCACUCUUACAAAUUUAGAGUGUCCUUUUAAACGAAACAUGUGUUUAGAGGGAUCGCAUGUUUUUGAGGAUGACGAAGACUGUGGUUUGUCUCCUGACUUGUUGAAAAUGGUAGAAAGGACUGAGAAGCAAAUCCUACCUUACAGGGAAUCAAUAGAAAUUGUGAGCUUAGAGAAAGGAAAAGAGGUGAAGAUCGGAUCAGAUAUCUCUACAAAGACAAGCCAAGACCUCAUCGAAUUACUCCGAGAGUUUAAGGACGUGUUUGCAUGGUCAUACCAGGAUAUGCCGGGGUUGAGUACCGGCAUUGUAGUCCAUCGUCUCCCUAUAAGAGAAGAUUGCAAGCCAGUGCAGCAAAAGCUCAGAAGGAUGAGGCCUGAUAUUGUGUUGAAGAUAAAGGAGAAGGUCCAAAAGCAGUGUGAUGCCGGAUUUCUGCAAGAAGUCAAGUAUUCUGAGUGGGUGGCUAACAUUGUACCAGUUCCAAAGAAAGAUGAAAAAGUAUGAAUGUGUGUGGAUUAUCGGGAUUUGAACAAGGCUAGUCCAAAGGAUAAUUUCCCAUUGCCCCACAUCGACACAUUGGUAGAUAAUACUGCAGACUUUUCACUGUUUUCCUUCAUGGAUGGUUUUUCUGGGUAUAAUCAGAUAAAGAUGCAUCCUGAAGACAUGAGAAAGACUACGUUCAUUACGUUAUGGGGGAUGUUUUGUUAUAAAGUGAUGCUGUUUAGAUUAAAGAAUGUAGGAGCGACAUACCAAAGAGCUAUGGUAGCCUUGUUCCAUGACAUGAUGCACAGGAAAAUCGAGGUUUACGUUGAUGAUAUGAUCGCGAAAUCUAGAACGGAGAGCGAACAUGUGCGAGAAGUUAUUCUUAAGAUUGAGAAAGUUCCAGCUCAAGCUUAAUCCGGCGAAGUGCACUUUUGGGGCCAGGUCAGGAAAGUUGCUAGGCUUCAUAGUCAGUGAAAAGGGAAUCGAGAUUGAACCAGAUAAAGUCAAGGCAAUACGAGAUUUACCUCCACCUCGCACUCAGAAAGAAGUUCGAGGUUUCCUCGGAAGACUGAAUUACAUCGCUAGGUUCAUUUCACAACUAACUGAGAAAUGUGACCCUAUAUUUCGUCUUCUGAAGAAACAUAAUCCUGGUACUUGGGAUGAAGAAUGCGAAGAAGCUUUUAACAGGGUGAAGUAGUAUUUGUCUAACACUCAAUUGCUAUCACCACCUAGCCUGGAUAGGCUGCUGAUAUUGUAUCUGACAAUAUUUGAUAAUUCCAUGGGGUGUGUGCUGGGCCAACAUGAUGAAACGGGGAGAAAAAAAAGGGCGAUAUAUUAUCUCAGCAAGAAAUUUACUGACUGUGAAAUGAGAUAUUCGCCUAUUGAAAAGUUAUGUUGUGCCUUGAUUUGGACAACCCGAAGAUUAAGGCAGUACAUGUUAUACUAUACGACUUGGCUAAUCUCAAAGUUAGACCCGUUAAAGUAUAUGAUGGAGUCAACUGCUUUGAGUGGGAGGAUGGCCCGAUGGCAGAUCUUACUGUCUGAAUUCGAUAUUGUCUAUGUGAGCCAAAAGACUGUGAAAGGGAGUCAAUUGCUGACUUUCUAGCUAGUAGAGCUCUGGAUGACUACGAGCCGUUGAGUUUUGAUUUUCCAAAUGAAUAUUUGAUGUGUAUAGUGGCUAUGGAAGAAAAUUCACAAGAAGGUUACAGUUGGAGCCUCGAAUGCUGUGGGAAAUGGAAUUGGGGCAGUCCUAGUGUCCCCGAAUGGUGAUCAUUAUCUUUUCACUUGCAAACUGGAUUUUGAUUGUACAAACAACAUGGCAGAAUAUGAAGCAUGCAUCAUGGGUAUUCGUGCAGCUAUAGAGCGAGGAAUCAAAGUGCUAGAGGUCUAUGGAGAUUCAGCAUUGGUGAAAUAUCAGCUCAGGGGUGAAUAGGAAACGAGAGAUCCCAAAUUAAUCAGUUAUCGAAAGUUGGUCCUCGAAUUGAUUAAGGAGUUUGAGGACAUCACUUUUUGCUAUCUCCCACGAUAUGAGAACCAGAUGGCUGAUGCACUGGCUACUUUAGCCGCCAUGAUCAAGGUGAACAGACAUGGGAAUAUGAAGCCAAUCCAAAUGAGUAUCUAUGAAGACCCGGCUCAUUGUUACAAUAUUGAAGAAGGAGAAAUCGAUGAUAGUCCUUGGUAUCAAGAUAUACUACGGUAUGUAAAAAAUCGUGAGUAUCCUGGCCAGGCAACGGAGAAUGAAAAGAGAACUCUAAGAAGACUAGCCAUUGAUUACAUCUUAGAUGGGGAGAUCUUAUACAAGAGGGUAAAGGAUCAAGUUCUGCUAAGAUGUGUGGACGCCGUGGAAGCAAAGAAAAUCUUGGAGGAAGUCCAUGAGUGCAUCUGUGGAACGCAUGCUAGUGGUUUCACAAUGGCCAGACAGAUUAUGAGAUUCGGGUACUACUGGUCCACCAUGGAAGGGGAUUGCAUCAAUUAUUCUAAAAAGUGCCAUAAAUGUCAAAUCUAUGGUGAUAAAAUGCAUGCACCUCCUUCACCUCUUCAUGUCAUAACUUCUCCAUGGCCUUUCUCCAUGUGGGGUAUGGAUGUUAUCGGGCCAAUAUCGCCAAAGGCUUCAAAUGGACAUCGUUUCAUAUUUGUGGUUAUUGACUACUUCACCAAAUGGGUAGAAGCUGCUUUGUAUGCCAACGUUACAAAGUCAUCAGUUAGUAAGUUCUUGAAAAGAGAGAUCAUAUGUCGGUAUGAAAUGCCUGGAAGAAUUAUAUCCGACAAUACGUUGAAUUUGAACAACAGCUCAAUAGCAGAGGUCUGCAAUCAAUUCAAGAUCAGACAUCACAAUUCGUCGCCGUAUCGCCCGAAAAUGAAUGGUGCAGUAGAAGCGGCCAAUAAAAAUAUAAAGAAGAUUGUAGGGAAGAUGAUUGAGACUUACAGGGACUGGCACGGGAAAUUACCGUUUGCCCUCAUUGCUUAUUGAACGUCAAUCAAGACCUCCACCGGGGCAACGCUUUUCUCCUUAGUUUAUGGCAUGGAGGCAGUCUUGCCCAUCGAAGUUGAAAUCCCUUCUCUCCGGGUUUUGACUGAGCUACAAUUGGAUGAAGCAGAAUGAGUUCAAUCUCGAUACGAUCAGUUGAACUUGAUAGAGGGAAAAAGGCUAAAGGCUAUUCAGCAUGGUCAGAUGUACCAGAAAAGAAUGAUGCGAGCCUACAACAAGAAGGUCCGUUCCAGAGAAUUUUACGAGGGGGACCUGGUGUUGAGAAAAAUUCUUCCUCUACAAAAAGAUUUUAGGGGGAAAUGGAUGCCGAAUUGGGAAUGUCCUUAUGUUGUAAAAAAGACCUUUUUUGGAGGAGCCCUGAUCCUGGCUGAAAUGGAUGGAAGAAACUUGCCUAAUCUAGUAAAUUCAGAUUCGGUCAAGAGAUACUUUACCUGAAGAGGGGAAGGAACCAAAGUGAAAACCCGCAAAGGGCGCUUUGAUUUCAAAAACAAAAAAAAAAUUUGGAGAGGCUAAGGUGAAAACCCGCAAAGGGCACCUUAAGACCAAAGGGGAUUUGAGUUGAAAACCUAAAAAGGGCGGCUCAAAUUUUAAUUUUCACAUGGUAGUCUUGUUGUACCUAAAUCGACAGAAAGGAAUAGACGACAUCUUGGGGCAUCAAUAAAAUACUGUGAAUCUCCUAAACACGUGUUGAAUUCAGAAGGGUCCUCGAAAAGCUGUAUAGAGAAAUUCAAGCAGAGAUAUCUGGGGCACCUAUUCAUAGCAUUUGUGUUGAAUUCGUUGUUUUAAAAUAUUUCAUUCUUUUUCAAUAUAAAUGUCCCCAGACAAUUCCUCUAUCAUUGACAAUUCAUUGCGAGCUGUGCUCCCAAAUUCAUUUUGUUUUAUUCAUCGUUAUGAUCUUUUCGCAAGCAUGUUGCAUUAGAAUGACGAUUAAUGGACUAGUAAAACUUUCACAAGGGAAGUUUUUCAUAUUACUCUAGAAAUUUUUAAAUAGCUCAGGAACCUGAAACAUGACCAUUGUUUAGACCUUCAUCGGGUUGAAAGAUUGGAGAUAUCUAGGAGUCAAGAGUCAAGAUUAGAAUUUUCAAGUUUUGACGAAACGUUAUUGUCACAAAAAAAGCCUUAAUGAGCAAUAAUGACUUUAAACAUUCAAUAUUCAUUUUUUAUGACAUAACAUCCAAAUGUCAUUCAUACAUGCCUAGUUAGGAGCAUUUGAUUCAUUCUGAUCAUAACAUCCUAAUCAUUAGGCAUAAUUAGGCUCAUAAAGUGAAUCAUACAGGUCAUGUUUCACAGAGAGCAGAUUGGUGAAAUCAUAGAGCCUUAUCUCCCUGAGCAGUAGUGGAACAGAUUGAAGCUACGACGGUGGAUCUAGUUUCCCUGAUAUUGCAAUUAAAAAGAUUGAAGCCAUAACGGCGGAUCUUACUUCCUUAGCAGUGCAGUGGAACAGAUUGAAGCUACGACGGCGGAUCUGGUUUCCCUGAUAUUGCAAUUAAAAAGAUUGAAGCCGCAACGGUGGAUCUUACUUCCUUAGCAGUGCAGCGGAAUAGAUUAAGGCUACGACAGCAGAUCUAGUUUCCCUGAUAUUGCAAUUAAAAAGAUUGAAGCCACAACGGCGGAUCUUACUUCCUUAGCAGUGCACUGGAACAGAUUGAAGCUACGACGGUGGAUCUGGUUUCCCUGAUAUUGCAAUUAAAAAGUUUGAAGCCACAACGGCGGAUUUUACUUUCUUAGCAGUGCAGUGGAACAGAUUGAAGCUACAACGGCAGAUCUGGUUUCCCUGAUAUUGCAAUUAAAAAUAUUGAAGCCACAACGGCGGAUCUUACUUCCUUAGCAGUGCAGUAGAACAGAUUGAAGCUACGACGACGGAUCUGGUUUCCCUGAUAUUGCAAUUAAAAAGAUUGAAGCCACAACGGCAGAUCUUACUUUCCUGACGGUGCGGUAGAACAGAUUGAAGCUACGACGUCGGAUCUGGUUUCCCCGACAUUGCAGUUAAACAAAUUGAAAAUUUCAGCUCUUAUCUCCCUAAGUAGUAGUGGACCAGAUCGAAGAUGGCGGAUUUUACCUCCCUGAGGUUAUAGUGGAGUAUAUUGAAGCCAGUAAUUCUAUCUCCCCGGUCGACAGUGGAAUCGAUCGAAGAAAGCAGAUCUUGUCUUCAUGUAUUGGCGUGAAGUAGAUCGAAGAAAGCAGAUCUUGUCUUCCCUUACUGGUGGUGAAGUAGAUCGAAGAUACAAGUCUUAUCUCCCUGAAGUUACAGUGGAGCAGACAGAAGUAACCAAUCUUAUCUCCUUGAAGUUGCAAUGGAGUGGACUAAGACCGCAGAUCUCAUCUCUCUGAAGUUGCAGUAGAGCAGAUUGCGUCAAGAUUUAUCCUUAAAUUGUAGCAGAACAAGUUGAAGCUAUAGGACUUAUCUCCCUGAAGUUGCAGUGGAGUAGAUCAAAGAUAGCAAAUUUUGUUCUUUUGAGAAGCUACAACAUACGAAUCCUAUCUCCCUGACAUUACAAUGGAGUAGAUUGAAGCAUUAGUUCCUAUACCUCUGAAGAUGCAGUAGGAAGGAAUGAUGCUACUUGAAGAAAUGAAGCAUUGAAGAAGUUGAAGCUUAGUAAGACCGGGCACAAUUGGGCAUUUCAGUCUUUGCUCUGUUCUCGUUACACGACAACAAGCAAAGAGGGGCAGCUGUAAUAAGCCCAAUCUACCCGGGCCCGCAUGCAAAAAUAAAGACCCAAAUUUUUACAAACCCAAUACCAAAUAGCCUAAUAGACCCAACAUUUAACCCUAGCCCAAUAACUAAAUAGCCCAAUGCUUAAAUAAAAAACAGAAAACCCUACUAGCAGCAAGUAGCGUCGCAAGCCCCCGCCUUCAGCGCCUCCAGCAGCAUCCGGACGCUGCAAGUUUCGGCCUCCACGAAUGCCAAACUCUCCACGCACUUGCAAACACGGACUCAGAGAGUCCAUUAGCGAAAAUAUAGUGUAAAACAAAUAAGUUUUAGGCUAUAUAAAGCCGUUUGAUUUUGUAAAAAGAGAGACAAAGAAAUCAAAAGGAGAACUGAGAAUACAAGUUUUUUUAGGUGAAUCGCACCACUUUUUUUUUCUUUUGCAUUUUACGUUUUUUAUUGUUUUUGUAUAACUAAAAGUAGAAAAAAGAGAAAAGGGGGUUACCCUCGUUUUGAAUCUGCUCAAGGGCAGUUAAAAGCCCGUCGUGUCGCCUUUCCGAUCACCAUU
rnacentral:lncRNA from 1 species